GACGAACGCUGGCGGCGUGCUUAACACAUGCAAGUCGAACGGAAAGGCCCUGCUUUUGUGGGGUUCUCGAGUGGCGAACGGGUGAGUAACACGUGAGUAACCUGCCCUUGACUUUGGGAUAACUUCAGGAAACUUGGGCUAAUACCGGAUAGGAACUCCUGCUGCAUGGUGGGGGUUGGAAAGUUUCGGCGGUUGGGGAUGGACUCGCGGCUUAUCAGCUUGUUGGUGGGGUAGUGGCUUACCAAGGCUUUGACGGGUAGCCGGCCUGAGAGGGUGACCGGCCAAAUUGGGACUGAGAUACGGCCCAGACUCCUACGGGAGGCAGCAGUGGGGAAUAUUGCACAAUGGGCGGAAGACUGAUGCAGCAACGCCGCGUGCGGGAUGACGGCCUUCGGGUUGUAAACCGCUUUCGCCUGUGACGAAGCGUGAGUGACGGUAAUGGGUAAAGAAGCACCGGCUAACUACGUG
rnacentral:rRNA from 1 species